rnacentral:piRNA from 1 species
UGAAAACUACUACGCAAAACCAAAGU